CACUAUGCCUAACCAUAACAAAACAAUCAAAUAACCCAUUGUUCGCCAAAUAACUACGAGUAAAAACUUAAAAUUUAAAAGACUUGACGGUAUCUCAAAACAACCUAGAGGAGCUUGUCUAAUAACCGAUACCCCACGAUUAACCCAACCCGCUCUAGCCUACAGUCUAUAUACCGCCGUCGCCAGCCUACCUUGUGAAAGAAACAAAGUGAGCCCAAUAGCCACCACACUAACACGACAGGUCGAGGUGUAACUAAUGAGGGGGCCAAGAUGGGCUACAUUUUCCAACAUAGAAAAAACGGAUUAACCUAUGAAAUAAGAAACUAAAGGAGGAUUUAGCAGUAUAUUGGGAACAACAUACCCAAUUGAAACCAGCGCAAUGAGAUGCGUACACACCGCCCGUCAUCCCUGUGUACCAAUAAAAAUAUUCAUAAACAAAAUCAACUACAAAAACAGGGCAAGUCGUAACAUGGUAAGCGUACUGGAAAGUGCGCUUAGAUACAAA
rnacentral:rRNA from 1 species